GCAGCCUGGUCAGCCAUGCCGCGUGAGUGAGAAGGCCUUCGGGUUGUAAAGCACUUUUGUCCGGAAAGAAAUCCUUUCGAUUAAUACUCGGGAGGGAUGACGGUACCGGAAGAAUAAGCACCGGCUAACUUCGUGCCAGCAGCCGCGGUAAUACAU
rnacentral:rRNA from 1 species